rnacentral:rRNA from 1 species
CCAGUGUGUUUCGACACACUAUCAUUAACUGAAUCCAUAGGUUAAUGAGGCGAACCGGGGGAACUGAAACAUCUAAGUACCCCGAGGAAAAGAAAUCAACCGAGAUUCCCCCAGUAGCGGCGAGCGAACGGGGAGCAGCCCAGAGCCUGAAUCAGUGUGUGUGUUAGUGGAAGCGUCUGGAAAGGCGCGCGAUACAGGGUGACAGCCCCGUACACAAAAAUGCACAUGCUGUGAGCUCGAUGAGUAGGGCGGGACACGUGGUAUCCUGUCUGAAUAUGGGGGGACCAUCCUCCAAGGCUAAAUACUCCUGACUGACCGAUAGUGAACCAGUACCGUGAGGGAAAGGCGAAAAGAACCCCGGCGAGGGGAGUGAAAAAGAACCUGAAACCGUGUACGUACAAGCAGUGGGAGCACGCUUAGGCGUGUGACUGCGUACCUUUUGUAUAAUGGGUCAGCGACUUAUAUUCUGUAGCAAGGUUAACCGAAUAGGGGAGCCGAAGGGAAACCGAGUCUUAACUGGGCGUUAAGUUGCAGGGUAUAGACCCGAAACCCGGUGAUCUAGCCAUGGGCAGGUUGAAGGUUGGGUAACACUAACUGGAGGACCGAACCGACUAAUGUUGAAAAAUUAGCGGAUGACUUGUGGCUGGGGGUGAAAGGCCAAUCAAACCGGGAGAUAGCUGGUUCUCCCCGAAAGCUAUUUAGGUAGCGCCUCGUGAAUUCAUCUCCGGGGGUAGAGCACUGUUUCGGCAAGGGGGUCAUCCCGACUUACCAACCCGAUGCAAACUGCGAAUACCGGAGAAUGUUAUCACGGGAGACACACGGCGGGUGCUAACGUCCGUCGUGAAGAGGGAAACAACCCAGACCGCCAGCUAAGGUCCCAAAGUCAUGGUUAAGUGGGAAACGAUGUGGGAAGGCCCAGACAGCCAGGAUGUUGGCUUAGAAGCAGCCAUCAUUUAAAGAAAGCGUAAUAGCUCACUGGUCGAGUCGGCCUGCGCGGAAGAUGUAACGGGGCUAAACCAUGCACCGAAGCUGCGGCAGCGACGCUUAUGCGUUGUUGGGUAGGGGAGCGUUCUGUAAGCCUGUGAAGGUGUGCUGUGAGGCAUGCUGGAGGUAUCAGAAGUGCGAAUGCUGACAUAAGUAACGAUAAAGCGGGUGAAAAGCCCGCUCGCCGGAAGACCAAGGGUUCCUGUCCAACGUUAAUCGGGGCAGGGUGAGUCGACCCCUAAGGCGAGGCCGAAAGGCGUAGUCGAUGGGAAACAGGUUAAUAUUCCUGUACUUGGUGUUACUGCGAAGGGGGGACGGAGAAGGCUAUGUUGGCCGGGCGACGGUUGUCCCGGUUUAAGCGUGUAGGCUGGUUUUCCAGGCAAAUCCGGAAAAUCAAGGCUGAGGCGUGAUGACGAGGCACUACGGUGCUGAAGCAACAAAUGCCCUGCUUCCAGGAAAAGCCUCUAAGCAUCAGGUAACAUCAAAUCGUACCCCAAACCGACACAGGUGGUCAGGUAGAGAAUACCAAGGCGCUUGAGAGAACUCGGGUGAAGGAACUAGGCAAAAUGGUGCCGUAACUUCGGGAGAAGGCACGCUGAUACGUAGGUGAAGUCCCUCGCGGAUGGAGCUGAAAUCAGUCGAAGAUACCAGCUGGCUGCAACUGUUUAUUAAAAACACAGCACUGUGCAAACACGAAAGUGGACGUAUACGGUGUGACGCCUGCCCGGUGCCGGAAGGUUAAUUGAUGGGGUCAGCGCAAGCGAAGCUCUUGAUCGAAGCCCCGGUAAACGGCGGCCGUAACUAUAACGGUCCUAAGGUAGCGAAAUUCCUUGUCGGGUAAGUUCCGACCUGCACGAAUGGCGUAAUGAUGGCCAGGCUGUCUCCACCCGAGACUCAGUGAAAUUGAACUCGCUGUGAAGAUGCAGUGUACCCGCGGCAAGACGGAAAGACCCCGUGAACCUUUACUAUAGCUUGACACUGAACAUUGAGCCUUGAUG